CCUACGUGACGCAGCAGUGAGGAAUCUUGGUCAAUGGACGCAAGUCUGAACCAGCCAUGCCGCGUGCAGGAUGACGGCUCUCUGAGUUGUAAACUGCUUUUGUACUAGGGUAAACCCCGAUACGUGUAUCGGGUUGAAAGUAUCGUACGAAUAAGGAACGGCUAACUUCGUGCCAGCAGCCGCGGUAAUACGUAGGAUCCGAGCGUUCUCCGGAUUUAUUGGGUUUAAAGGGUGCGUAGGCGGUUUGAUAAGUUAGAGGUGAAAUGUACGGGCUCAACCCCGAAACUGCAUCUAAUACUGUUGGACUAGAGAACAGUUGCGGUAGGCGGAAUGUAUGGUGUAGCGGUGAAAUGCUUAGAGAU
rnacentral:rRNA from 1 species